CCAAUAGCGGAGGAAAAGAAACCAACUGGGAUUACCUUAGUAACGGCGAGUGAAGCGGUAAAAGCUCAAAUUUGAAAUCUGGUACUUUCAGUGCCCGAGUUGUAAUUUGUAGAAUUUGUCUUUGAUUAGGUCCUUGUCUAUGUUCCUUGGAACAGGACGUCAUAGAGGGUGAGAAUCCCGUUUGGCGAGGAUACCUUUUCUCUGUAAGACUUUUUCGAAGAGUCGAGUUGUUUGGGAAUGCAGCUCAAAGUGGGUGGUAAAUUCCAUCUAAAGCUAAAUAUUGGCGAGAGACCGAUAGCGAACAAGUACAGUGAUGGAAAGAUGAAAAGAACUUUGAAAAGAGAGUGAAAAAGUACGUGAAAUUGUUGAAAGGGAAGGGCAUUUGAUCAGACAUGGUGUUUUUUGCAUGCACUCGCCUCUCGUGGGCUUGGGCCUCUCAAAAAUUUCACUGGGCCAACAUCAAUUCUGGCAGUAGGAUAAAUCAUUAAGAAUGUAGCUACCUCGGUAGUGUUAUAGCUUAUUGGAAUACUGCUAGCUGGGAUUGAGGACUGCGCUUCGGCAAGGAUGUUGGCAUAAUGGUUAAAUGCCGCCCGUCUAAAAACCCCCGGGCCC
rnacentral:rRNA from 1 species